GACGAACGCUGGCGGCGUGCCUAAUACAUGCAAGUUGAGCGCUGAAGGUUGGUACUUGUACCAACUGGAUGAGCAGCGAACGGGUGAGUAACGCGUGGGGAAUCUGCCUUUGAGCGGGGGACAACAUUUGGAAACGAAUGCUAAUACCGCAUAAAAACUUUAAACACAAGUUUUAAGUUUGAAAGAUGCAAUUGCAUCACUCAAAGAUGAUCCCGCGUUGUAUUAGCUAGUUGGUGAGGUAAAGGCUCACCAAGGCGAUGAUACAUAGCCGACCUGAGAGGGUGAUCGGCCACACUGGGACUGUGACACGGCCCAAACUCCUACGGGAGGCAGCAGUAGGGAAACUUCGGCAAGGGACGAAAGUCUGACCGAGCAACGCCGCGGGAGUGAAGAAGGUUUUCGGAUCGUAAAACUCUGUUGGUAGAGAAGAACGUUGGUGAGAGUGGAAAGCUCAUCAAGUGACGGUAACUACCCAGAAAGGGACGGCUAACUACGUG
rnacentral:rRNA from 1 species